rnacentral:rRNA from 1 species
GACGAACGCUGGCGGCGUGCUUAACACAUGCAAGUCGAGCGACGCUCUUCCUUCGGGGAGAUGACGGAGCGGCGAACGGGUGAGUAACACGUGGGCAACCUGCCCCUAGCUCUGGGACAACACCGGGAAACCGGUGCUAAUACCGGAUACGACAUCGAGCGGCAUCUCUCGAUGUGGAAAGUUUUUUCGGCUAGGGAUGGGCCCGCGGCCUAUCAGCUUGUUGGUGGGGUAAUGGCCCACCAAGGCGACGACGGGUAGCCGGCCUGAGAGGGCGACCGGCCAACCUGGGACUGGGGCACGGCCCAGGCUCCUACGGGAGGGAGCAGGGGGGAAAAUUGCGGAAUGGGCGAAAGCCUGACGCAGCGACGGCGCGUGAGGGAUGGCGGCCUUCGGGUUGUAAACCUCUUUCAGCAGGGACGAAUUCAGACGGUACCUGCAGAAGAAGCACCGGCCAACUACGUG